AAUAUAGAAAGCGAAAUAUUUGCGUACGGUUUCGACCCGUAAGGUAGGGGUAUAUAACUCCCCUUCUGUAUUU
rnacentral:tRNA from 1 species